rnacentral:rRNA from 1 species
AGCAUAUCCAAUAAGCGGAGGAAAAGAAACCAACAGGGAUUGCCCUAGUAACGGCGAGUGAAGCGGCAACAGCUCAAAUUUGAAAUCUGGCGUAAGCCCGAGUUGUAAUUUGUAGAGGAUGCUUCUGGGUAGCGGCCGGUCUAAGUUCCUUGGAACAGGACGUCAUAGAGGGUGAGAAUCCCGUAUGUGACUGGCUUGCACCCUCCACGUAGCUCCUUCGACGAGUCGAGUUGUUUGGGAAUGCAGCUCUAAAUGGGAGGUAAAUUUCUUCUAAAGCUAAAUACCGGCCAGAGACCGAUAGCGCACAAGUAGAGUGAUCGAAAGAUGAAAAGCACUUUGGAAAGAGAGUUAAAAAGCACGUGAAAUUGUUGAAAGGGAAGCGCCCGCAACCAGACUUUGCGGCGGUGUUCGGCUGGUCUUCUGACCGGUUUACUCGCCGCCGUGAGGCCAUCAUCGUCUGGGACCGCUGGAUAAGACCUGAGGAAUGUAGCUCCCUUCGGGGUGUGUUAUAGCCUCUGGUGAUGCAGCGCGUCUCGGGCGAGGUCCGCGCUUCGGCAAGGAUGAUGGCGUAAUGGUUGUCGGCGGCCCGUCUUGAAACACGGACCAAGGAGUCUAACAUCUAUGCGAGUGUUCGGGUGUCAAACCCCUACGCGUAAUGAAAGUGAACGGAGGUGGGAACUUUUUGUGCACCAUCGACCGAUCCUGAUGUCCUCGGAUGGAUUUGAGUAAGAGCAUAGCUGUUGGGACCCGAAAGAUGGUGAACUAUGCCUGAAUAGGGUGAAGCCAGAGGAAACUCUGGUGGAGGCUCGCAGCGGUUCUGACGUGCAAAUCG